UACGUAGGGGGCGAGCGUUGUCCGGAGUUACUGGGCGUAAAGCGCACGCAGGCGGUUUGCUAAGACCGAUGUGAAAUCCCCGGGCUUAACCUGGGAACUGCAUUGGUGACUGGCAGGCUAGAGUAUGGCAGAGGGGGGUAGAAUUCCACGUGUAGCAGUGAAAUGCGUAGAGAUGUGGAGGAAUACCGAUGGCGAAGGCAGCCCCCUGGGCCAAUACUGACGCUCAUGCACGAAAGCGUGGGGAGCAAACAGG
rnacentral:rRNA from 1 species